rnacentral:piRNA from 1 species
CCAAUUGAACGAAAUGUGCCACU